AAAUGUGUAAACAUUGGUAGAGGAGCAUUGCUAGCGGGAUGAAGCCUUACCGAAAGGAGUGGUGGACUGCUAGGAAGAGAGAAUGCCGGAAUGAGUAGCGAGAUGAAGGUGAGAAUCCUUCAGGCCGAAUAUCUAAGGUUUCCAGAGUAAAGCUGAUCUGCUCUGGGUAAGUCGGGACCUAAGGCGAGGUCGAAAGACGUAGUCGAUGGAUAACAGGUUGAAAUUCCUGUACCGCAUAUAAACAGAACUGUGGGGACACAGACAGGGAAUGGAAUCCGGGGAUGGAGAACCCGGAGCAAGCGAGGUAGGAGUGCUGUUGGCAAAUCCGCAGCACGAUCUGAAGACGUGAUGCGUACCGAACAUAAGUAGGGAAGUCCAGGCCCCUGGCUGUCAAGAAAAGCCGCUAUUGUUUUAUAUGUGCCCGUACCGCAAACCGACACAGGUGGAUGAGGAGAGAAUCCUAAGGCCGACGGGAGAAGUAUUGUUAAGGAACUCGGCAAAAUGACUCCGUAACUUCGGGAGAAGGAGUGCCAUGAGAGUGGCCGCAGAGAAAUGGCCCAAGCAACUGUUUAGCAAAAACACAGGUCUAUGCAAAACCGCAAGGUGAAGUAUAUGGGCUGACGCCUGCCCGGUGCUGGAAGGUUAAGGGGAGAGGUUAGCGCAAGCGAAGCUUUGAACUUAAGCCCCAGUAAACGGCGGCCGUAACAAUAACGGUCCUAAGGUAGCGAAAUUCCUUGUCGGGUAAGUUCCGACCCGCACGAAAGGCGUAAUGAUUUGGGCACUGUCUCAACGAUACACCCGGUGAAAUUGAAAUACCAGUGAAGAUGCUGGUUACCUGCGCCAGGACGGAAAGACCCCAUGGAGCUUUACUCCAGUUUGAUACUGGGAUUCGGCAUGGUAUGUACAGGAUAGGUGGAAGACUGAGAAGGUAUGACGUCAGUUGUACCGGAGUCGCUGCUGGGAUACCACCCUUACCAUGUUGGAUUUCUAACCUGUGGCCGUGAACCGGUCAGGGGACAAUGUCAGGCGGGGAGUUUGACUGGGGCGGUCGCCUCCGAAAGGGUAUCGGAGGCGCUCAAAGGUUCCCUCAGAAUGGUUGGAAACCAUUCGAAGAGUGCAAAGGCAGAAGGGAGCUUGACUGUGACACCGACGGGUGGAGCAGGUACGAAAGUAGGACUUAGUGAUCCGGUGGUAUAAAGUGGGAUUGCCAUCGCUCAACGGAUAAAAGCUACCCCGGGGAUAACAGGCUUAUCACUCCCAAGAGUUCACAUCGACGGAGUGGUUUGGCACCUCGAUGUCGGCUCAUCGCAUCCUGGAGCUGUAGCAGGUUCCAAGGGUUGGGCUGUUCGCCCAUUAAAGCGGUACGCGAGCUGGGUUCAGAACGUCGUGAGACAGUUCGGUCCCUAUCCGGCGCAGGCGGAGGAAAUUUGAUAGGAGCUGUCCUUAGUACGAGAGGACCGGGAUGGACGGACCGCUGGUGUAUCUGUUGUACUGCCAAGUGCAUCGCAGAGUAGCCAAGUCUGGAAGGGAUAAACGCUGAAGGCAUCUAAGCGUGAAGCCCCCCUAAAGAUAAGAUUUCCCAUACCGAAAGGUAGUAAGACCCCUUGAAGACGACGAGGUAUAUAGGGCAGAGGUGGAAGUGCGGUAACGCAUGGAGCUGACUGUUACUAAUCGGUCGAGGCUUUAACC
rnacentral:rRNA from 1 species